rnacentral:snoRNA from 1 species
AUUUGAUGAUGUGGACAUUGUAUCUGCAACUCCCCAAAUCUUUCCCAAGCGUUGAAGAAUUCCUCCGUAUGCUUCUGUCUAAAAGUGUUGAUCUUGUUUCUCAACUC